AUUGAACGCUGGCGGCAGGCCUAACACAUGCAAGUCGAGCGGAUGAGGGAAGCUUGCUUCCCGAUUUAGCGGCGGACGGGUGAGUAAUGCCUAGGAAUCUGCCUAUUAGUGGGGGAUAACGUUCCGAAAGGAACGCUAAUACCGCAUACGUCCUACGGGAGAAAGUGGGGGAUCUUCGGACCUCACGCUAAUAGAUGAGCGUAGGUCGGAUUAGCUAGUUGGUGAGGUAACGGCUCACCAAGGCGACGAUCCGUAGCUGGUCUGAGAGGAUGACCAGCCACCCUGGGACUGACACACGGCCCAGGCUCCUACGGGAGGCAGCAGUGGGGAAUUUUGGACAAUGGGGGCAAACCUGAUUCAACAAUGCCGCGUGUGUGAAGAAGGCCUUCGGGUUGUAAAGCACUUUUGUCCGGAAAGAAAACUUCGUCCCUAAUAUGGAUGGAGGAUGACGGUACCGGAAGAAUAAGCACCGGCUAACUACGUGCCAGCAGCCGCUGUAAUAC
rnacentral:rRNA from 1 species